rnacentral:rRNA from 1 species
UAGUCCACGCCGUAAACGAUGUCAACUAGCCGUUGGCCUCAUCUAGAGGUUAGUGGCGAAGCUAACGCGAUAAGUUGACCGCCUGGGGAGUACGCCGGCAACGGUAAAACUCAAAGGAAUUGACGGGGGCCCGCACAAGCGGUGGAGCAUGUGGUUUAAUUCGAUGCUACACGAAAAACCUUACCUACUCUUGAUCUCUAUAACGAGUAGAGAUACUCGUGUGCCUUUUAGGAAUUAGAUGACAGGUGCUGCAUGGCUGUCGUCAGCUCGUGUUGUGAAAUGUUGGGUUAAGUCCCGUAACGAGCGCAACCCUUUUUCUUAUUUGCUAACAAGUUAUGUUGAGAACUAUAAGAAGACUGCCAGUUAUAAUCUGGAGGAAGGUGAGGACGACGUCAAGUCAUUAUGGCCUUUAUGAGUAGGGCUACACACGUGCUACAAUGGUUGAUACAAAAGGAAGCAAAGCUAGCGAAGUGAAGCAAAUCCCAUAAAAUCAAUCUCAGUCCGGAUUGGAGU